AUGGGUGGCCAGGCUGCAAGGCCAACUUGCAUCCACACCCAGUUUCCAGCUCAGUGCCUGGCCCAGAUAAAGCCUUCCUGCCUCCUUCCUCCCUCCUUCCAUCCCUCUCUCCCUCCCUCGGCCACUCAUUCAUUCCUUCAUCACUCCAUCACUCAUCCAUUCUCUCACUCACUCAUUUCCUCGUUUAUUCAUCCCCCUCACUCAUGGACUCAUCCAUUCUCUCAUUCAUUCAACCCCUCACUCAUUCCAUCAUUCAUUCUCUCUCACUCAUUCUUUAUCAUUCUCUUACUCACUUCCUGUCAUUCAUUCCCUCAUUACACAUUCCCACGCUCACUCAUUCCCUCAUUCAUUCAUCCCCUCAUUCCCUCAUUCAUUCAUCUCCUCAUUCCCUCAUUCAUCUCACUCAUUCUUUCAUUUAUUCACCCCCUCACUCAUUCACUCAUUCAUUAUUCACUCACUCAUUCAUUCCCUCAUUUAUUCAUCCCCUCACUCACUCACUCAUUCUCUCAUUUCCUCACUCAUCCAUUCUCUCACUCAUUCACCCAUUCAUUCACUAACUCAUUUCCUCACCCAUCCAUUCCCUCAUCACACAUUCCCUCACUCACUCAUUCCCUCAUUUAUUCAUCCCUCACUCAUUCACCCAUUUAUUCUCUCAUUUCUUCACUUGCUUAUUCAUUCCCUCACUCAUCCAUUCUCUCAUUCAUCACUCAUUUCCUCACUCAUUCAUUCCUCAAUUCAUCCCCCUCAUUCACUUUCAUUCACUCAUUUCCUCACUCACUCAUCACUCAUUCAAUUUCUCACUCACUCAUUCCCUCACUCUUGUUCCUUCAUUCAUUCAUCCUGUUCACUCAUGCUCUCACUCACUCAUUCAUUCCCUCACUCAUCCGUUCGCAUUCCCUCACCACUCAUUCCUUCAUUCAUUCAUCCCCUCACUCAUUCACUUACUCAUUCUUCUCUCACUCGCUCAUUUCUUCAAUCACUCAUUCAAUCCCUCAUUCAUUCACUCACUUCCUCAUUCAUUCCCUUGCUAAUUCACUCCUUCACUCAUUCCCUCAUUCGUUCACUUAUCACUCACUCAUUCCCUCAUUCAUUCAUUCACUCAUUCUGUCAUUUCCUCAUCCCCUCACUCAUUCGCUCAUCCAUUCAUUCACUCACUCAUUCCUUUAUUCAUCCCCUCAUUCAUUCAUUCAUUAUCUCAUUUCCUCACUCAUCCAUUCUCACUCACUCAUUCACUCAUUCUUGCAUUCUCUCACUCAUUUCCUCACCCAUCCAUUUCCUCAUCACACAUUCCCUCGCUCACUCAUUCCUUCAUUUAUUCAUCCACUCACUCAUUCACUCAUUUAUUCUCUCAUUUCUUCACUUGGUCAUUCAUUCCCUCACUCAUUCAUUCUCUCACUCAGUCAUCACUCAUUUCCUCACCCACUCAUUCCCUCAAUUCAUCCCCUCAUUCGCUUUCAUUCAUUCACUCAUUUCCUCACUCACUCAUCCCUCAUUCAUUCACUCAUUACUCAUUCCCUUACUCAUCCAUUCUCAUUCCCUCACUCACUUAUUCAUUUUCUCACUCACUCAUUCCCUCACUCUUGUUCAUUCAUUCAUCCCCUCAUUCACUCAUGCCCUCACUCACUCAUUCAUGCCCUCACUCAUUCAUUCUCACUCACUCCGUCAUCACUCAUUCCUUCAUUCAUCCCCACCCAUUCACUCAUUCUCACUCAUUUUUUCAUUAAUUCCUUCCUUCAUUCAUUCAUUUUCUCACUCACUCCUUUCCUCAUUCAUUCAUUCCCUCAGUCAUCCAUUCUCUCAUCCCCUCACCACUCAUUCCUUCAUUCAUUCAUCCCCUCAUUCACUUACUCAUUCUUCUCUCACUCACUCAUUUCCUCAUUCAUUCCCUCAUUUCCUCAUUAA
ensembl:lncRNA